GGACCUUCAUGACUGCCCUCGACACUUACUCACUUCGGCUGAUUAAGCUGUAUCGAAUUAGAAAAGCUGCUUUCCGCAAUGACAUGGAUUCCCUGUUGCAGAAGUUUGAUGAACAGGUCUCAAACAUAGUCCAGCAUCGACGAACCAUCAGUUUGGAAGGGUUACCGAUAUUUGUUCGCGACGACGAGACCAAACUCUUCUUAACAUGUCUGGAUACAGAUCCAGUUGAGAGGGCAACCCGAGGUGUUACGGUGGGCAUCCUCACUGUUCUGGAGGACUACGUGGGACCCAACUCGCAGUCCACAGUGGUCAACACUGCCAUUGUUUUGGAAGAGGACAUUAUUCUUGAUGAUCUGCCAGACCUUCCCACUGCCUUUGCCUACCUGUUUGGCCUA
ensembl:lncRNA